ensembl:lncRNA
AUGUUAGAACGCAGCCACCAUCGAUCACCUAUCGUCCAUCCAGAAAUAGUGAAAGGUCUGCCCUUCGCAGGGUGCGGACGGACGUCUGAGUUCAAAUUAACACGUUUCACUCUCCCUGAAUGCUGGACAGGCAUUGAAAAGGAGGUUGUUUACAUUGAGGUGCUGAACUCCCGCCGCUCGCUCUUUCUUCCCCCCUGUUUUCCAAUCACCGCAGAGACAUGACCCAUUUAAGUGGUUGUUUACUUGCAUUAGAAGAGCCAAAGCACUACUCAAUGAAGUCUUGUCUACAAUUCAAUUAGAGUGGACUUCCCAGCAGCACAAUUUCCCCCUCAGCACAAUGCUCACUUCAGCUGAGCAGAAACAGGAAGUGGGAAGACCAGCGAUCAGCUGUGGUCACACCUGCAGCGGCGAGAUGUCCCCACACGUCUGUGGAUUCACAUCCUUUAUGUGUGUUGGCAUUAUUGUCUAAUGUGAAGUUUGAUCUCGGUGAAAGGAAAUGAGCAACGAUUCAUACAUUAUUUCUCGCCCUCUGAUGACCAAUGAUAGGAAACGUCUGCAGUGUUUCUAUGCUACUGGGGCAAUAGGUGGGUGUCUCCACUGUAGAAACUUCCCCCAAAGGGCCAUUUACAUUUUCUUGGGCCUAAGCGAGUCCCUGCUCCAGGGUAGGUACUGAGAUCUCCUGGGUGGGAUGCUGAUUGGAUAAGGCCAAAUGUGACACAGAAGCCAGCAGCAGAGGAGCGUUAGCCUAGCAGACGCCGCUCCUCCUCUUGUUCACAGCAUCUGCCGCCUUGCACAUGAAAUAGAUCAGAACUAAAAAUGUCACAUGGGCAAGACUUCACACGCCUAUAGGAAAUCAUAUGCUUUUGGAGUACUGCACUGCCAUGUUUGCCUCCUUCCUUGUUUUUUUUUGAUGAUUUUUGCGGCUCAGCUGGGGGACGCCACAGUCAGAACAACGUUUUUGUACUGGUUGAAACGCGUGACGUCAUCGGAGGAUCCUACCCAGCAGUGAGGACGCAACCAAGUGAGAGGAGCAGUUCCUGAAAGAUUCCUGCCCCCAGUAUUUACCAGCAGCUCCUGCAGUGGGAACAGGCCUAUUUUUAGGGAUUGUGGGGAUGCUAGUGACGCACCAGCUCGUGGGUGCUUUCAAAGUCACCCUUUCUUAGCAUCGCCUCGCAUGUUCACAAUAAACUCUUUAUCGCCACAUUUUGUUUAUUACAUAGACAUCAGAGUUUAUUUUCUCAGAAAAGUGGAGCGUGCGUUCACAAGUCCUGUGAGAGAGAUCCUGUUUGAAGGAAAGCUGGAGAUGUAGCAAUUAUGGGAAAUUGAAUAUAACUAACUAAAUCAUUCUUGACUGUUUCUCCUGUGUUUGUGCUCUUCUAUCCUAAUUGACUCAUUCAGCCAAAGUAGGACAGGAGAUGGGUGUAUCCCUGUGAAGCAUGUAUAGCUUACAUGUAAAGAGUGGUUCAGAACCACUCAGAGGGUUAGCGGGCUAAUAUGGCUGCCUGAACAGUCAGCCAUAACUCCAUUUGAUCAGAUUUUAGCAGAUUCAACACUUCAGUGAAUCACUACUGCAUCAUGGAAGCAUUCCGCGACUUGGCACCCACGCGCCAUCUUUUCAGUGGGAUCCAAUUGUUUUGAAAGUAUUCCAGUCAUGAUUCAUGUUGUCGCGCCACCCAACCUGCGUCAGCCGAGUCUUAGGUAAGAGUGACUGCACAGGAACCAGUUUGAGAUUACCUGGUGAGCUAAAACCUACAACUCAGCCGGGCUGAGUGUGUACAGACACUUUCCAACACACCUAAAUAUUGUAGUCUUUGUUUUGAUGUGGUGCUUGAUGAGUGAAGGGGGGGGGGAUCAACGAUCUUGAGCAACUUUGUUUUUUAAGACAUUUUAAGACCCUGUGUGAGUUUUCUCCAGGUACUCCAGUUUAUUUCCACUCCACAAACAUACACGUGUCGAUCGGAGACCCUAAACCAGCUACGUGUGUGUGUGUGUGUGUGUGUGUGUGUGUGUCUGUUCUGUGACCGACUGGUGUCCCGUCGAGUUGCUUCACUGUUCGUUUCUGUGGCGGCUGGGCGAGACACUGGUACUCCCCAUGGCCCCGAGCGGGAGUCGGCAGGAGUUUACAGGAAGUGGUUGGAUGGAUUAUACGUUUCUGUGGUCGUGCGAGACUGUUUCUAGUUAAUAUAGAUGUCACAAAUCAGCUCUUGAGGCAGGUCUACUGCUGAUAUAGGUCUUCUACUCUGAGCAUGUAAUCUUUCCAAAUUGUAUGAUUGAUUUUAAACUAGUGCCUUCUUUUUGUUGAGUCCAAUAAACUGGAGUAUGCUGUCACCUUUAAUGCACUGGUUUGCCACCAGAUUCUUGGUCAAACAUCAAAAAUGGCUGGUUUUGUCAAAUUUUUAACACGGGU